UUGGGAAUCUUGCACAAUGGGGGAAACCCUGAUGCAGCGACGCCGCGUGGACGAUGAAGGCCCUAGGGUUGUAAAGUCCUUUUUCAGGGAAAGACUUAGGACGGUACCCUGAGAAUAAGCUCCGGCUAACUACGUGCCAGCAGCCGCGGUAAGACGUAGGGAGCAAGCGUUGUCCGGAUUUACUGGGCGUAAAGCGCGCGUAGGCGGCCUAUUAAGUGUGAAGUGAAAUCUCCAGCGCUCAACGCGGAAACCGCUUCGCAUACUGGUAGGCUUGAGGAAUGCAGAGGAUUGUAGAAUUCCCGGUGUAGCGGUGACAUGCUUAGAUAUCGGGAGGAAUACCGACGGCGAAGGCAGCAAUCUGGGCAUUAUCUGACGCUGAGGCGCGAAAGCGUGGGUAGCAAACAGA
rnacentral:rRNA from 1 species